CCUACGGGGAGCAGCAGUGGGGAAUAUUGGACAAUGGGCGAAAGCCUGAUCCAGCCAUGCCGCGUGUGUGAAGAAGGCCUUCGGGUUGUAAAGCACUUUCAGUGGGGAAGAAAGCCUUGGGGCUAAUACCCUCGAGGAAGGACAUCACCCACAGAAGAAGCACCGGCUAACUCCGUGCCAGCAGCCGCGGUAAUACGGAGGGUGCGAGCGUUAAUCGGAAUUACUGGGCGUAAAGCGCGCGUAGGCGGUCUGAUAAGCCGGUUGGGAAAGCCCCGGGCUCAACCUGGGAACGGCAUCCGGAACUGUCAGGCUAGAGUGCAUGAGAGGAAGGUAGAAUUCCCGGUGUAGCGGUGAAAUGCGUAGAGAUCGGGAGGAAUACCAGUGGCGAAGGCGGCCUUCUGGACUGACACUGACGCUGAGGUGCGAAAGCGUGGGUAGCAAACAGGAUUAGAUACCCCUGUAGUC
rnacentral:rRNA from 1 species